rnacentral:rRNA from 1 species
CCUACGGGAGGCUGCAGUAGGGAAUAUUGCUCAAUGGGGGAAACCCUGAUGCAGCGACGCCGCGUGUGGGAAGACGGUCUUCUGGAUUGUAAACCACUGUCCCCAGGGACGAAAAUGACGGUACCUGGGGAGGAAGCUCCGGCUAACUACGUGCCAGCAGCCGCGGUAAUACGUAGGGAGCAAGCGUUGUCCGGAAUUACUGGGUGUAAAGGGAGCGUAGGCGGGGAUGCAAGUUGGGUGUCAAAACUACCGGCUCAACCGAUAGUCGCACUCAAAACUGCAGCUCUUGAGUGAAGUAGAGGCAGGCGGAAUUCCUAGUGUAGCGGUGAAAUGCGUAGAUAUUAGGAGGAACACCAGUGGCGAAGGCGGCCUGCUGGGCUUUUACUGACGCUGAGGCUCGAAAGUGUGGGGAGCAAACAGGAUUAGAUACCCUAGUAGUC